UACGGAGGGUGCAAGCGUUGUUCGGAUUUAUUGGGCGUAAAGCGCGUGUAGGCGGUUUCUUAAGUCUGAUGUGAAAGCCCUGGGCUCAACCCAGGAAGUGCAUUGGAUACUGGGAGACUUGAAUACGGGAGAGGGUAGUGGAAUUCCUAGUGUAGCGGUGAAAUGCGUAGAGAUCGGGAGGAACACCGGUGGCGAAGGCGGCAUUCUGGACCGACAUUGACGCUGAGGAGCGAAAGCCAGGGGAGCAAACGGG
rnacentral:rRNA from 1 species